rnacentral:rRNA from 1 species
GAAUGCGAUCAUACCAGCACUAAAGCGGCGGAUCCCAUCAGAACUCCGAAGUUAAGCAUGCUUGGGAGAGAGUAGUACUAGGAUCGGUGACCUCCUGGGAAGUCCUCGUGUUGCAUUUC